ACGAACGCUGGCGGCGUGCUUAACACAUGCAAGUCGAACGGAAAGGCCCUGCUUUUGUGGGGUGCUCGAGUGGCGAACGGGUGAGUAACACGUGAGUAACCUGCCCUUGACUUUGGGAUAACUUCAGGAAACUGGGGCUAAUACCGGAUAGGAGCUCCUGCUGCAUGGUGGGGGUUGGAAAGUUUCGGCGGUUGGGGAUGGACUCGCGGCUUAUCAGCUUGUUGGUGGGGUAGUGGCUUACCAAGGCUUUGACGGGUAGCCGGCCUGAGAGGGUGACCGGCCACAUUGGGACUGAGAUACGGCCCAGACUCCUACGGGAGGCAGCAGUGGGGAAUAUUGCACAAUGGGCGGAAGCCUGAUGCAGCAACGCCGCAUGCGGGAUGACGGCCUUCGGGUUGUAAACCGCUUUCGCCUGUGACGAAGCGUGAGUGACGGUAAUGGGUAAAGAAGCACCGGCUAACUACGUG
rnacentral:rRNA from 1 species